CGUAACACGUGAGCAACCUUCCGAAAUAUGGGGGAUAGCCGGCCUAACGGCCGAGUAAUACCGCAUACGCUCUCGAUGAGGCAUUUCAUUGAGAGGAAACCUCCGGGGUAUUUCGAGGGGCUCGCGGCCUAUCAGCUAGUUGGCGAGGUAACGGCUCACCAAGGCAACGACGGGUAGCUGGUCUGAGAGGACGAUCAGCCACACUGGGACUGAGACACGGCCCAG
rnacentral:rRNA from 1 species